UACGUAAGAGUUGGUCCUUCAGCAU
rnacentral:piRNA from 1 species